GAUGAAGAACGCAGCGAAAUGCGAUAAGUAAUGUGAAUUGCAGAAUUCAGUGAAUCAUCGAAUCUUUGAACGCACAUUGCGCCCGCCAGUAUUCUGGCGGGCAUGCCUGUUCGAGCGUCAUUACAACCCUCAGGCCCCCGGGCCUGGCGUUGGGGAUCGGCGGAGCCCCCCGUGGGCACACGCCGUCCCCCAAGUACAGUGGCGGUCCCGCCGCAGCUUCCAUCGCGUAGUAGCUAACACCUCGCGACUGGAGAGCGGCGCGGCCACGCCGUAAAACACCCAACUCUUCUGAAGUUGACCUCGAAUCAGGUAGGAAUACCCGCUGAACUUAAGCAUAUCAAUAAGCGGAGGA
rnacentral:misc_RNA from 1 species